rnacentral:ncRNA from 1 species
GAGAGCCGUAUACAUUGAAAGGUGUACGUACGGUUCGGAGGGGGGCAGACAAAAACCUGCCAUAGAAAUAUGGCGUGGCGUUGGCUGCCUACCCUAC